UCCGAUGGAAUGCGUGUUGGGAGCCACCACGCGCCGUCCGCUGCGCCUCCUCCAGCCCCGCACUUCACGCUUCGCCCUCCGAUCUUCCACUCGCUCUCCUACUCCUCCUCGCUCGCCCUAGAUCCCCGCCGCCGCCCGCAAUCCUCCUCUCCUCAAGAUCCACCAGCCGCCGUCCGCGAGGGAGACAACCCAUCGGCCCUCUACGCCGCUGCCGCCACCGCACAACCCAACCCCAACUUCCCUUCUUUCCUCCCCUGCACCAGCCGCCGUGAUUGAUCCCCCCGCCUCCAUGAGACCGGUGCGAAGUGCGCGCUCCUUCUGCCCCUCCUGCAUGGCGAAAGGCCGAUGGCUAUGGUAGGUUGCUGCAGCGUCGCCGGCGCCAGCCGCACAGCAGCGCCGUUUGAUGGCAAGCGAGAGAAGAAAAGUGCCCCAGUAAACGAACCGCUUCUUCACCGGGAGGUCCAACUCCGGCGUCAGUACAUCACCACAUCAGAGAUUCGUGAACUUGGAAUCAACGCCACCUUUGCCAGUUGCAGCGCCACCACCACGGUCACCGCCAAGUGCAGCAUGUUGGCCGGAAUCCAUAGUUGGCAGCCACGGAGGGAACAAGGUGGCUGCAAAUAGGAAAAUGGAAGGCUUCGGAAGAUGGGAGACGCUAUGUAGGGAAUCUUUACUUUAAAAAAACCAAAAAGGCGAAAAAACUUCGUACGUCGGGCACAACUGAGAUAAGUGAAGCCGAGGGCUUGAUUACUCGAUGCUGAGAUUAGCAUCAACCAUGAUGUUGUGCACCUGACCCACCGUAACUCUUUGAAUUGACUGUACUGAAAACAGGGCAUUUCCUGAAUUUGCAAGAAUUACGGCAUGGCCAUGGGGAUUGGUUAUGGCUCAACCGUUGCCGUCCCAUCGGCAUUCGACUUUGACACCAGCUCGUGGUGUGAUCAUGUCGGGUGCAUCGUCAAGAAGCUCAGUGACUAGGUAGAUGUAUUCUCUAUGCCAUGGUGGUUGGAGAGUUUAUAUGCUUGUAGGUGAUUAGUAAUGCAUUGGUACUAUUUGCAUGUUGGUUCUAUAUGGAGUUGAAUCUAUCAUUUUCAAGCAUGUUGUAUGAUAUAGCAUCCAAGCUAGACAAAGUCUGAGAAUGAUAAACCGUUAAAGAAAUAUUUAGUCAGGGCCCAAGAGAAGCAAGUGCUACUGCCUUGCUCUACCCCUGGCCGUGAUUGGUCAAGUGCGCCAAGGGGAUUUGCACAGCUUGGUCAGCAGCACUACAUACAGACAUAUAUUUCUUGAGGUUUUAAAUAUCAAAGGAAAGCGUCGACAGCCAAAAUAUUUAGAGAAAGCUUUAUGCCUAUAUGCUGGUGAUGGACUACUAGAAGAAUGAAUGAUGGACUACUAGAAGAAUGAAGAAUUACAGAAAGGUUUAUUGGUGAUUGCUGGUGCCAAUGGGACAUGAAUAGAUCAAUAAGAGAACUCAUAUUUAACAUAGUUGCGCUUGUAGUUAGAGAUGAUGUUUUUAUUGUCAUUGUGUUAUUACUUUGGUUGAGACAUAUAUUUGAAGUUAAUGAAGGUUUGAGUUCUUAUAUGU